rnacentral:rRNA from 1 species
AGUGAACGCUGGCGGUAGGCCUAACACAUGCAAGUCGAACGGCAGCACAGUAAGAGCUUGCUCUUACGGGUGGCGAGUGGCGGACGGGUGAGGAAUACAUCGGAAUCUACUUUUUCGUGGGGGAUAACGUAGGGAAACUUACGCUAAUACCGCAUACGACCUACGGGUGAAAGCAGGGGAUCUUCGGACCUUGCGCGAUUGAAUGAGCCGAUGUCGGAUUAGCUAGUUGGCGGGGUAAAGGCCCACCAAGGCGACGAUCCGUAGCUGGUCUGAGAGGAUGAUGAGCGAGACUGGAAGUGGACAAGGGCCCAGACGCCAAAGGGAGCAAGCAGUGGGGAAUAUGGGAAAAAGGGCGCAAGCAUGAACCAGUCAUCAGGGGUGGGAGAAAAGGGCCUUCGGGUUGUAAAGCCUUUUUGUUGGAAAAGAAAAGCAGCAGGUUAAUACCCCGCGUGCCUGACGUUACCAAAAUAAUAAGAACCGGCUAACUUCGUG